CGGGCUGUCUCUGGAUGUUGGCGUAUCUCUGGCAUCGAUCACACUUUUUGACAUAUUCAAUCGAAUCAUGAUGCAUCGUUGGCCAGUAAUAUCCUUGGCAGAGCAACUUGUGGGAUAAAGAUCUAGCCCCCAAAUGGUUUUCGCAAAUUCCUUCAUGUACUUCCCACAAGGCGUAGUUAGCUUCCGAGGGCCAGAGACAUUUCAAGAGGGGUAAAGAGUAUGAUCUCUUGUACAAUUUGCCCUUAUAAAGGAGGUAUCUGGAGGCUUGAUUUCAGAGCUUCCGAGCUUCUUUCAGAUCCUGGGGGAGGACUCCAUCUCUGAGAUAGAUUAUCAGUGGGUCGAUCCAGCUGGGUUCGUGGUCAAUCUCCAUCACAGGCCGCGACUCUUCUGUACUCGGGUGCUUCAGAACUUCAAAGAGAACGCCUUUGGGCAACUCGGCCGGAGCCAACGUUGCCAGCUUGGAGAAAAGGUCAGCUCUGGUAUUCUCCAACCUUGGAAUCUGCCUAAUGUUGAAGCUGCUAAAGGUGGGGGUAAGCUCCUUUACUUUCUCAAGGUAUUUGGCCAUACUGUCCUCCCGCGCUUCAUAACUCCCACUGACUUGUCCCACCACCAGUUGGGAGUCGCUGUG
rnacentral:lncRNA from 1 species